GAUGAACGCUGGCGGCGUGCCUAAUACAUGCAAGUCGAGCGAACAGACGAGGAGCUUGCUCCUCUGACGUUAGCGGCGGACGGGUGAGUAACACGUGGAUAACCUACCUAUAAGACUGGGAUAACUUCGGGAAACCGGAGCUAAUACCGGAUAAUAUAUUGAACCGCAUGGUUCAAUAGUGAAAGACGGUUUUGCUGUCACUUAUAGAUGGAUCCGCGCCGCAUUAGCUAGUUGGUAAGGUAACGGCUUACCAAGGCAACGAUGCGUAGCCGACCUGAGAGGGUGAACGGCAACACUGGAACUGAGACAAGGUCAAGGCUCCUAAGGGAGGCAGAAGUAGGGAAUCUUCAGAAAUGGGCGAAAGCCUGACGGAGCAACGCCGCGUGAGUGAUGAAGGUCUUCGGAUCGUAAAACUCUGUUAUUAGGGAAGAACAAAUGUGUAAGUAACUAUGCACGUCUUGACGGUACCUAAUCAGAAAGACACGGCUAACUACGUG
rnacentral:rRNA from 1 species